GUAGCACUUGAAAUUCUCUACAUUUUGUCAGUGAACAACUUUUUGCUAUCUCUUUUCCCCGCGGAGAUAUGCAGAUGCCACUAGCGCCGUCUGCGUCUCCCCUCCCUCAACACAAUAUUUUUGUCUCUAACUUUAUCUUUCCGUAUCUUUUUGCAACGGUGCCAAGU
ensembl:ncRNA R10F2.7 ncRNA